CCUACGGGAGGCAGCAGUGAGGAAUAUUGGUCAAUGGACGAGAGUCUGAACCAGCCAAGUAGCGUGAAGGAUGACUGCCCUAUGGGUUGUAAACUUCUUUUAUAUGGGAAUAAAAUGUUCCACGUGUGGGAUUUUGUAUGUACCAUAUGAAUAAGGAUCGGCUAACUCCGUGCCAGCAGCCGCGGUAAUACGGAGGAUCCGAGCGUUAUCCGGAUUUAUUGGGUUUAAAGGGAGCGUAGGGGGAUUGUUAAGUCAGUGGUGAAAGUUUGCGGCUCAACCGUAAGAUUGCAGUUGAAACUGGCAGUCUUGAGUACAGUAGAGGUGGGCGGAAUUCGUGGUGUAGCGGUGAAAUGCUUAGAUAUCACGAAGAACUCCGAUUGCGAAGGCAGUUCACUGGACUGCAACUGACACUGAGGCUCGAAAGUGUGGGUAUCAAACAGGAUUAGAUACCCUUGUAGUC
rnacentral:rRNA from 1 species